AAGGAUGUCGGUUGGUAGACACGCUCCUUACUGCUGAUUGGCUAUAAGUGUGUUUUGGUAGUCGGCUCAUCUCCUUUUCCAAAGCGUUUUUCAAACAUUGUGCACUCCGCCUUUAACAUUAAUUUAUGUUUACUUUGUGUUUUGCAGCAGAACAGAAAGUCACACCUGGAUACUAUAAUGAUGACAUCACAGAUGGACCAACAGCAGAUCGUCGGACAGUGAACGUCCCAGAAGAUUAUGAUGAUGUCAUCAUUAUUAAACAGAACACUCAUGCUAUAAAUGAGUAUGAAGAUAUGGGAAAGAAGACUAAUAAAGAGGGAGGGUCUGUUUGACUCGAUGAUCACAGCCACCGCCCAUUUUCAUCAAAAUUAUAUCAAGUGUCUGACAUUUAAUUGAUUUGAUAUUGCUACUAAAUCUGCAAUGCCUGCUUUCUGACAUAAAUAUUUUUUUUCCAAGAAUUAUAAGAAAAAACCUAUAGGGGCGCUUUCCCGGAGAGGGAUUAGACCAGUCCUAGACUAAAAUAAAUGUAAGAGCUGUCCAAACUGAAAACAGCUUGCACUGACAUAUCUUAAAAUACAUCAGUGCACUUUGUUUUGUCUCAAAAUGCACACAAGUAAUGUUUUAGCAAGACAUGUUUGUAAUAUUUCCUAAAUAAACUCAGGCCUAGUCCUGGCUUAAGCUAAUCCUUGUCCAGGAAACCACCCCUUAAUGUUUUAAACCUUUAGAAUAUCAGCUUAA